rnacentral:rRNA from 1 species
GCAUGCCGCGUGCAGGAAGAAGGNCUUCGGGUUGUAAACUGCUUUUGUACGGAACGAAACGGUCUGCCCUAAUACGGUGGGCUAAUGACGGUACCGUAAGAAUAAGCACCGGCUAACUACGUGCCAGCAGCCGCGGUAAUACGUAGGGUGCGAGCGUUAAUCGGAAUUACUGGGCGUAAAGCGUGCGCAGGCGGUUAUAUAAGACAGUUGUGAAAUCCCCGGGCUCAACCUGGGAAUUGCAUCUGUGACUGUAUAGCUAGAGUACGGUAGAGGGGGAUGGAAUUCCGCGUGUAGCAGUGAAAUGCGUAGAUAUGCGGAGGAACACCGAUGGCGAAGGCAAUCCCCUGGACCUGUACUGACGCUCAUGCACGAAAGCGUGGGGAGCAAACAGGAUUAGAUACCCUGGUAGUCCACGCCCUAAACGAUGUCAACUGGUUGUUGGGUGCAUUAGUACUCAGUAACGAAGCUAACGCGUGAAGUUGACCGCCUGGGGAGUACGGCCGCAAGGUUGAAACUCA